rnacentral:misc_RNA from 1 species
AUCACUUGCUUGCACUUGAUGGAGAAAAGGAAAGGCUUCAUUUGUUCAAAGCAAAUUUAUUGGAAGAAGGGUCUUUUGAUGCUGUAGUUGAUGGGUGUGAAGGAGGUUUUCAUAUGGCAUCAACCGUAAUAUUUUCAGUUACUAAUCCAUAGGUUCCUCUCUCAUGCCUUUUAUCUCCUUAAAUCUUCUUGAUAUGUUAAAGCAUUUAUGCUAGGUAAUUAGCUGAUCAAGAUUGAAGGCUAAUGCAUUUCAUUCAUUUCCUUGUAAACUAUUCAUUCAAUGAAUAUUUCCAUUUCUUUAUGCAUUUCAGGUAGAACUAAUUGAUCUGGUCGUGAAAGGAACACUUAAUGUUCUUAAAUCAAGCACAAAAGUUCAGUCUGUCGAGAGAGUGAUUAUAACAUCUUCUCUGGCAACAAUGGAAAGCUUGUAACUCUUGAUAUGGUAGUUGAUGAGACUUGGUAUUCAAAUCCGGAAGUUUGCAAGAAAUUGAAGUUAUGGUAUAUGCUUGCGAAAACCUUAGCAGAGGAGGCAGCUUGCAAAUUUGCAAAAGAGAAUUCAAUUGAUUUUGUUACAUUAAAUCCAGGAUAUGUGAUUGGUCCUCUCUUACAACCAACUCUUGAUGAAACUGUGGAGAUGAUUCUCAACCUAGUUAACGGAGCAAAAACAUACCCUGAUGCAUAUUAUAGGUCAAUUGAUGUUUGAGAUGUUGCUGUUGCACAUGUUCAAGCCCUUGAGACUCCUUCAGCUAGUGGCAGAUAUUGUUUAGCUGCAGAUGAUCUCCACUUCUCUGAGCUUUUAAAGAUCAUUCAUGAGCAUUACCCCACAUUGUAGCUUCCUGAAGAUUGUUGCAGAUGUGACUACAAUAACGACAUGGGCUUGCCAAAGUACAUAGUAUCACUGGAUAAGGCAAAACUCUGGGUACCGGCUUCAUUCCUCUGGAUGCGACUCUAAGAGACACUUUUGAAAGCUUGAAAUAGAAUGGCUUCAUCGGCAUCUGAUUUAGAUUGUAUCUACCACUGGGCAAUGCAAAAACAAGAGGGAAAUUGAAAAAUAAAUAAUGCACUUUUCCAUUUAUGACAGCAGAAAGACUGAUUUUCCAAUAUUUGCUAGAAAUAAAAGAUGCCUGUUUUAACUUCUGUUUGUUAUUUUUUAAAAUUACUGACAUGGUUUAUGGCCCUAGAUUCCUAAUUUGCAAUCUGCAAACACCACAAACAACGAUGGCAAAAUUACAGUGAAAAUAGGCUUGCUUGCUUCUUCCACUGACCAUUCUAUAGACAUUUCUUUCAGUUUUCUUUUAUCAUGCUGUUCUGCCCACUGCUCAGUGUCAAGAUAUCAUCACAUCAUUUGCUGUCCAUUGAAACUGCCAACUAUUAUUAGGUUUGAAAUUUCUACCAUAUACUCCUCUGCUAGGUCUAGCCCAUCCAUAACUUCACUACCCUAUCCUUGCCUCCAGAAGCUACCUUCUCGCCAUCCGGACUCCAAUCAACAGCAUACACCUCAUCAGCAUGACCUGGAAGGUCUUGUUUUAGCUUCCGAGUCCUUCUAUCCCAAGCCUUCAGCGUGGAGUCUGUGCUUCCACUUAAAAGAAGCCUACUGUCAGCUGACCAGCUGAUUUGAUAAACACGCCCAAUAUGUCCUCGAAAAGCAGCAAUGAAUUUUCCAGUAACACCAUUCCAUAACUUGACUGACCCAUCAAAUGAAGCACUAGCCACCCAUUGCCCAUCAGGUGAGAAGUAAACAUGAUUUACAAGCUUUUGAUGACCUGUCAUGCGAGUUUUGUGGUGUUCGCUAACGGCAGGUUCCCAGAGAAACAAAGUAAAAUCAUCAGAACCUGAAACUAAUCUCUCAGGGCCAUUGCCCUUCAUUUUGUUGUAUCUUUCCAGAGCAACCUUUUUCAUUUCCUCUGGCGAAGAAUAUAUUUUGCCAGUAUGGUCAAAAGCUCCAGUACGAAGAACAUAAUCAGUGCUCAAAGUCAUGGAGUUUACCCGAUUCCCAUGACCCUUCAAUUCCCGAAUUAACUUCCCCUGUGAAGUCUCCCAGACUUUGAUGGUACAAUCUUGGGAGCCAGUAUAAAUUACUCCAUCUCCACCCCAUUUCACACAAGUUAUUGCAAGUGUAUGACCAGUGAGACAGAUAACACAUUUCCUUAAUGAAACAUCCCAUAUGCGUGCAUCACCAUCUUUGCUUGCACUAACAAACCGACGACAUGGUGCAUUCAAGUGGACUGGCUCCCAAGAGAUGCCGGUAAUCCAUUUUUUGUGGCCCACAAGUGGAUUGCCUGAUGGCUUUCCUGUCUGAGGAUCCCAACAUUGAAGCUCUCCAGCCUUGCUCCCACUCACAAGAUGUUUACCAUCUGGCGACCAUGCAAUACACAGAACCCAAUUCUUGUGUCCUGUACAUGUAAACAUUGGUGUUUGGGUAUUAAGAUCCCACAGACGAACAGUGGUAUCUCCAGAGCCACUUGCCAAAUGCCGCCCAUCAGGACUAAAAGCAACCGAAAGUACAGGUUCUGCGUGACCAGCAAUAGUUGCUGAACAACGAUUAACUGGACGGAUUCGGAAAACAGCUUGUGGUUGAUAAACAAUGGAAAGUACCUUCUCCACAGAAACUUUAUUUUUCUGUAAGUAAGUUUCAAGUGGAACAAGAAGCUCCUGGUCUGAUAUGUAGAAAGAAUAUGGCAACUUCUCUUCCUGAACCAACAAAAAUGCAGAUUUCAGCAGCAGUGUCUCAGGUUUUCUUAUUCUCUCCCUCUAUAGAUUGUUGAGAAGCUUAUUGACGAUUUGUUCGAAGCUGCUGAGGACCGGCAUUCUGUGGAAGAUACAAGGGAGCUCCCAGAGCCGUCCCUUCCGGAUCGGUGAAUUGGCACAUCACGUUAUUCACCGUUUCCACAUCCAUUUUUCUAAUUGCUCUGGCGUUCUUUGUACCGUUGGAUUGCUACGGAUCGUGGCUCAAAGAUUCUUUUGUUUUUUCCUUGUCUUUCCAGGCUGUGAUGCUAAACGACAUCGUUUAUCUGUACAAAUCCCAUGUCCGUACUACAGCCCGUCUUUGAAAGUAUGACUUCAAUCAAAGGGUAUCUUAUUAUUUUAUUUUUUUUCCAGAAAAUAAAGGAUCGAGCAAAUAGAAAAAGCAAAAGAGAGAUUCAUGGAAAGUUUUAGAAAAAGGGCUUGCUUUACCUGCCGAUGCAAAUAAUCUUUCAAUGGAGGAGAAAAACACAAAGAGACUAUAAAGCCCAAAGGGAAAGAGAAGAAGAACGGUUUGUUCUCUUCUUAAUCUUUCAAUCUCUUCCGUGGUUGGUUUUUGUCUAUAUUCAAUCGAAACUCAAGUCGGUGGAAGGUCAGCGAAAAGCGAAAACCCAUAUCUAAAA